UAUUUGAAAGCAAAGAGGGAGGGGCUUUCUCAGUCCAGGUUUUUUAUACACUUAAUGGUUAGACCCAAAAUGAUGAAGUAAUUUACUUAAAGGCUAGCAAAGAAGGAUGUUUAAGGGGGAAAAAACUAUUUCUGAAGGCUUUUGUCUCUGAAAGGUUUAAAAUACCCCAAAAUGUAGAACUAAUAUUUAUGCAGACGGCAUUCUGACUUGGUUUCAGGUGAACGGAAACAGGAAGCUUUUGAAGUUCUAGAAUAUUCUCUCUAUUAAACCUCCUCUGCAAUGUGACAACAUUUACGCGUUUCUCCUUCAGUCUGCAGAUCUGGUCAGCAUGGUGUACAGCUGCAUCGGAGCAGAGAUCGAGGACUCGGACGGCAGCAGCACUGGGGACAACAGAUCGGACCUGGAAGCUGAUGGAUCCAUCCCGCUCUCAGAUACCCCCAGCAUGACUCGGAGCAACGGACACGUGGUGUCAUCCAGGCAGCAGACGGAGACGGGCAGACAGGAGAGGAUCGUUCCCCUGACGGACUGCCGGAUAGAGAUGGAAGAGGACGUGCACGCUGGCGGCAGAGCUCCCUGUGGACCACGGCCCGAGCCGCCUCCACAGAGCUACAAGCCCAGUUUGGCUGUAAUGAGACAGAGACACCUGCAGGAGCGCUUAGGUAUUGCAGCUAAAGGGAGGUAAAAUGCAAAAACGAAAAAGUGUGAGAGAUUGGAAAUCCACAUAAGAAAAGAUCAACUGUUUUUAUGACUUUUAACAUGCCAAUAAAUGUUGCUGUUUGUCUUUAUUGUGUAGAUUUUCUACCAGGUAAAUUAGAUGAUUAAAAAAGCUCAGAUUGUUUACUUCACCUCUUGUGUUUUUUUUUUCUUUUACUUUUACAGAACCUUAUAUUUCAAGGGAAAUAAAUCACUUCUGGGGUUUUGCUUGAGGGAAAAAAAAAGGUUCGAUCAAUCACUGAAGGAAAAAAAAACAGGUUUUGUUGUUUAUUUGUUACCAGAGGAGGCAGGAAAGCUGGAGGGACAAGACCAAAAGGAAACAACAUAUGAGGAGAAGCAGAGAGGGAGAGGACCGGAGGGACAGCGUCCUCUCAUUCCCAAGAAGGUGUGUUGUCACAAUGACACGCAAAAACAACACCCCAUUUGUCAAGUUGUUUUUUUUUUUUUUUAUUUAUGUUGCAGCAUAAAAUACAUCACAAACGUGUUUCUCCAACAGCCCAGCACAGACCUCCAGAGAGAAAACUCCUCUCCAGAAAAUACCAAGGACUUACCCCAAACAGCAUCAGCAGGGCAGGAGGAGGAGCAUAGCGGUGAGCAGAGAAGUCCUCCUGCUCACGCCAUCGCUGAGGAGGACGUGGGAGGGGCGAGCCCGUCUGGAUCUGUGAAGUCUGGCGUGGAAACAGUGGAUCCCUCCGUCAUCGGUUUCAAAAGCCCCAACGGGGGUAACGAUGACGCUCUAUGA
rnacentral:lncRNA from 1 species